rnacentral:rRNA from 1 species
UACGUAGGAGGCAAGCGUUGUCCGGAAUUACUGGGUGUAAAGCGCGUGUAGGCGGCAGGCCAAGUCUGUGGUGAAAUCGCUCGGCUCAACUGGGCGGGGUCAGCGGAUACGGCGCGACUGGAGCAAGCUAGGGGGCAAUGGAAUUCCCGGUGUAGUGGUGGAAUGCGUAGAUAUCGGGAGGAACACCAGUGGCGAAGGCGGUUGCCUGGAGCUUUGCUGACGCUGAGGCGCGAAAGCGUGGGGAGCGAUCCGG